AUUGAACGCUAGCGGGAUGCCUUACACAUGCAAGUCGAACGGAGUGGCGAACGGGUGAGUAAUGUAUCGGAACGUGCCCAGUAGCGGGGGAUAACUACGCGAAAGCGUAGCUAAUACCGCAUACUAUUGGAGCGGCCGAUAUCGGAUUAGCUAGUUGGUGGGGUAACGGCUCACCAAGGCGACGAUCCCUAGCUGGUUUGAGAGGACGACCAGCCAAACUGGGACUUAGACACGGCCCCAGCUCCUACGGGGGGCCGGAGUGGGGGAUUUUUGACAAUGGGGGAAACCCUGAUUCCGCCAUCCCGGGUGUGGGAUUGAGGGCCUCGGGGUGGUAAGGACUUUUGGCAGGGAAACGGUACCUGCAGAAUAAGCACCGGCUAACUACGUGCCAGCAGCCGCGGUAAUUC
rnacentral:rRNA from 1 species